UGGGGAAUAUUGGACAAUGGGCGAAAGCCUGAUCCAGCCAUGCCGCGUGUGUGAAGAAGGUCUUCGGAUUGUAAUGCACUUUAAGUUGGGAGGAAGGGCAGUAAGCGAAUACCUUGCUGUUUUGACGUUACCGACAGAAUAAGCACCGGCUAACUCUGUGCCAGCAGCCGCGGUAAUACAGAGGGUGCAAGCGUUAAUCGGAAUUACUGGGCGUAAAGCGCGCGUAGGUGGUUGGUUAAGUUGAAUGUGAAAGCCCCGGGCUCAACCUGGGAACUGCAUCCAAAACGGGCGAGCUAGAGUAGGGAAGAGGGGGGGGGAAUUUCCUGUGUAGCGGUGAAAUGCGUAGAUAUAGAAAGGAACACCAGUGGCGAAGGCGGCCACCUGGGCUCAUACUGACACUGAGGUGCGAAAGCGUGGGGAGCAAACAGG
rnacentral:rRNA from 1 species